AACUGCCAGUUAAAAAUCCCUAACUUCCAGAAACGCAACCUAAACACCUGAGAAUUUUAGUAGCCUCAUCAAAAGACCAUCAAAACUAUAUCAGAGUUUUCGUACUUUGCUGCCAACAGAGCUCUUAAGUACAUAAGCAAUGAUAUCAUAUCUGAGAAGUUGGCGAUAAAUUCACCAAAGUUACCUCCGUACACGUUUAACAAAAAGAUCGAUGGCACAGCACACCCCAGCAAUUUUUUACUAGACGCACAUCAAAGCAUUGCAAGAAACCAGCCGCCUGUGUAUCGUGCAGUCACGUUCCACACAUUCCCGUUCCUUGUACAAGACUUUUUUGUGCAAACUGCAACGAUGAUUCCGGACUCUUAGUCGCAAUCCUCUCUAUUCUUACAUUUAUAUAAACUUAUACACAUUAAAAUAUAUAUAACAAUAAAACCAAUUUAUGGUAAAUCAUGGCAACU